AUUGAACGCUGGCGGCAUGCCUUACACAUGCAAGUCGAACGGUAACAGGUCUUCGGAUGCUGACGAGUGGCGAACGGGUGAGUAAUACAUCGGAACGUGCCUAGUAGUGGGGGAUAACUACUCGAAAGAGUGGCUAAUACCGCAGGAGAUCUACGGAUGAAAGCAGGGGAUCGCAAGACCUUGUGCUACUAGAGCGGCCGAUGGCAGAUUAGGUAGUUGGUGGGAUAAAAGCUUACCAAGCCGACGAUCUGUAGCUGGUCUGAGAGGACGAUCAACCACACUGGAACUGAGACACGGCCCAGACUCCUACGGGAGGCAGCAGUGGGGAAUUUUGGACAAUGGGCGCAAGCCUGAUCCAGCAAUACCGCGUGCAGGAUGAAGGCCUUCGGGUUGUAAACUGCUUUUGUACGGAACGAAAAGCCCUGGGUUAAUACCCUGGGGUCAUGACGGUACCGUAAGAAUAAGCACCGGCUAACUACGUGCCAGCCGCCGCCGUAAUAC
rnacentral:rRNA from 1 species